AUUGAACGCUGGCGGCAGGCCUAACACAUGCAAGUCGAACGGUAACAGGAAGAAGCUUGCUUCUUUGCUGACGAGUGGCGGACGGGUGAGUAAUGUCUGGGAAACUGCCUGAUGGAGGGGGAUAACUACUGGAAACGGUAGCUAAUACCGCAUAACGUCGCAAGACCAAAGAGGGGGACCUUCGGGCCUCUUGCCAUCGGAUGUGCCCAGAUGGGAUUAGCUUGUUGGUGGGGUAACGGCUCACCAAGGCGACGAUCCCUAGCUGGUCUGAGAGGAUGACCAGCCACACUGGAACUGAGACACGGUCCAGACUCCUACGGGAGGCAGCAGUGGGGAAUAUUGCACAAUGGGCGCAAGCCUGAUGCAGCCAUGCCGCGUGUAUGAAGAAGGCCUUCGGGUUGUAAAGUACUUUCAGCGGGGAGGAAGGGAGUAAAGUUAAUACCUUUGCUCAUUGACGUUACCCGCAGAAGAAGCACCGGCUAACUCCGUGCCA
rnacentral:rRNA from 1 species